rnacentral:tRNA from 2 species
GGUGAAAUGUCUGAGUGGCUGAAGGAGCACGCCUGGAAAGUGUGUGUAGGAGAAAUUCUACCUAGGGUUCGAAUCCCUAUUUCACCGCCA